CAUUGGCUCAACCAANGUAUGCUUUGGAAACUGUUAGACUNGAGUGCAGAAGGGGAGAGUGGAAUNCCAUGUGUAGCGGUGAAAUGCGUAGAUAUAUGGAGGAACACCGGUGGCGAAAGCGGCUCUCUGGUCUGUCAUUGACGCUGAGGCUCGAAAGCGUGGGUAGCGAACAGGAUUAGAUACCCUGGUAGUNCACGCCGUAAACGAUGAGUGCUAGGUGUUAGGUCCUUUCCGGGACUUAGUGCCGCAGCUAACGCAAUAAGCACUCCGCCUGGGGAGUACGACCGCAAGGUUGAAACUCAAAGGAAUUGACGGGGGCCCGCACAAGCGGUGGAGCAUGUGGUUUAAUUCGAAGCAACGCGAAGAACCUUACCAGGUCUUGACAUCCCGAUGCCCGCUCUAGAGAUAGAGUUUUUCUUCGGAACAUCGGAGACAGGUGGUGCAUGGUUGUCGUCAGCUCGUGUCGUGAGAUGUUGGGUUAAGUCCCGCAACGAGCGCAACCCUUAUUGUUAGUUGCCAUCAUUGAGUUGGGCACUCUAGCGAGACUGCCGGUAAUAAACCGGAGGAAGGUGGGGAUGACGUCAAAUCAUCAUGCCCCCUAUGACCUGGGCUACACACGUGCUACAAUGGUUGGUACAACGAGUCGCAAGCCGGUGACGGCAAGCUAAUCUCUGAAAGCCAAUCUCAGUUCGGAUUGUAGGCUGCAACUCGCCUACAUGAAGUCGGAAUCGCUAGUAAUCGCGGAUCAGCACGCCGCGGUGAAUACGUUCCCGGGCCUUGUACACACCGCCCGUCACACCACGAGAGUUUGUAACACCCAAAGUCGGUGAGGUAACCAUAUAGGAGCCAG
rnacentral:rRNA from 1 species